AUGCGCGGUCAUGAUAAUGAAACGUUAUUUCACUCGUUGAUGGAAUGUGACCAUGCAAGGCGUUUUUGGGAAGAAGCAGAACGUUUCUUUGGUAUUGACAUACCACGGUUACAUCCAUUGUCAUGGUCUCGAGAUCUUUUAGAUCAAAGAUUGUACAAAAAGGAGGUGGCAGCUAUUAUGAUUACUGUGAUGUGGGCUUUUUGGCAUGCCAGGAACAACUACACUCAUGGUGAGAUGGUGUAUCGGCCGGUGAAAUCCAUGGUGAUUAUCGAGGAGAUUGUCCGGGCACUUGAGAUCCCGGAGAGGGGGAAGACCCAAGCUAUAGUCCCCCUGAGGUGGUUGCCACCUGAGGAGGGAUGGAUAAAGAUCAACACUAAUGGAGCUACGGAUAUGGGUCUUAUAUGUGGAGGAGCGGGCUUCAAUGCUCGAGAUCAUCAGGGAGCUCUCGUUAGAGCUGGAGGCUCAAGGUACGAUGGGGUAACAGACCCCUUUUCCAUUGAGCUACUUGCAUGCAGAGACACGAUUCUAAUGGCGUAG
rnacentral:rRNA from 1 species